rnacentral:rRNA from 2 species
CGUGCCUAAUACAUGCAAGUCGAACGAACUCUGGUAUUGAUUGGUGCUUGCAUCAUGAUUUACAUUUGAGUGAGUGGCGAACUGGUGAGUAACACGUGGGAAACCUGCCCAGAAGCGGGGGAUAACACCUGGAAACAGAUGCUAAUACCGCAUAACAACUUGGACCGCAUGGUCCGAGUUUGAAAGAUGGCUUCGGCUAUCACUUUUGGAUGGUCCCGCGGCGUAUUAGCUAGAUGGUGGGGUAACGGCUCACCAUGGCAAUGAUACGUAGCCGACCUGAGAGGGUAAUCGGCCACAUUGGGACUGAGACACGGCCCAAACUCCUACGGGAGGCAGCAGUAGGGAAUCUUCCACAAUGGACGAAAGUCUGAUGGAGCAACGCCGCGUGAGUGAAGAAGGGUUUCGGCUCGUAAAACUCUGUUGUUAAAGAAGAACAUAUCUGAGAGUAACUGUUCAGGUAUUGACGGUAUUUAACCAGAAAGCCACGGCUAACUACGUGCCAGCAGCCGCGGUAAUACGUAGGUGGCAAGCGUUGUCCGGAUUUAUUGGGCGUAAAGCGAGCGCAGGCGGUUUUUUAAGUCUGAUGUGAAAGCCUUCGGCUCAACCGAAGAAGUGCAUCGGAAACUGGGAAACUUGAGUGCAGAAGAGGACAGUGGAACUCCAUGUGUAGCGGUGAAAUGCGUAGAUAUAUGGAAGAACACCAGUGGCGAAGGCGGCUGUCUGGUCUGUAACUGACGCUGAGGCUCGAAAGUAUGGGUAGCAAACAGGAUUAGAUACCCUGGUAGUCCAUACCGUAAACGAUGAAUGCUAAGUGUUGGAGGGUUUCCGCCCUUCAGUGCUGCAGCUAACGCAUUAAGCAUUCCGCCUGGGGAGUACGGCCGCAAGGCUGAAACUCAAAGGAAUUGACGGGGGCCCGCACAAGCGGUGGAGCAUGUGGUUUAAUUCGAAGCUACGCGAAGAACCUUACCAGGUCUUGACAUACUAUGCAAAUCUAAGAGAUUAGACGUUCCCUUCGGGGACAUGGAUACAGGUGGUGCAUGGUUGUCGUCAGCUCGUGUCGUGAGAUGUUGGGUUAAGUCCCGCAACGAGCGCAACCCUUAUUAUCAGUUGCCAGCAUUAAGUUGGGCACUCUGGUGAGACUGCCGGUGACAAACCGGAGGAAGGUGGGGAUGACGUCAAAUCAUCAUGCCCCUUAUGACCUGGGCUACACACGUGCUACAAUGGAUGGUACAACGAGUUGCGAACUCGCGAGAGUAAGCUAAUCUCUUAAAGCCAUUCUCAGUUCGGAUUGUAGGCUGCAACUCGCCUACAUGAAGUCGGAAUCGCUAGUAAUCGCGGAUCAGCAUGCCGCGGUGAAUACGUUCCCGGGCCUUGUACACACCGCCCGUCACACCAUGAGAGUUUGUAACACCCAAAGUCGGUGGGGUAACCUUUUAGGAACC